rnacentral:rRNA from 1 species
AUUGAACGCUGGCGGCAGGCCUAACACAUGCAAGUCGAGCGAGCGGCGGACGGUUGAGUACUGUCUGGUAAACUGCCUGAUGGCGGGGGAUAACUACUGGAAACGGUAGCUAAUACCGCAUACCAUCAGAUGUGCCCAGAUGUGAUUAGCUAGUAGGUGUGGUAAUGGCUCACCUAGGCGACGAACCCUAGCUGGUCUGAGAGGAUGACCAGCCACACUGGAACUGAGACACGGUCCGUACUCCUACGGGAGGCAGCAGUGGGGAAUAUUGCACAAUGGGCGCAAGCCUGAUGCAGCCAUGCCGCGUGUGUGAAGAAGGCCUUCGGGUUGUAAAGCACUUUCAGCGGGGAGGCGUUACCCGCAGAAGAAGCACCGGCUAACUCCGUGCCAGCAGCCGCGGUAAUAC